GCUCGGAAGUUGAAGCUCACAUUUGAAUCGCCGCGGUAAAGCGGGUGUCUUAUUGAAUGAAAGGCGACAAUGAAGAACAUAACAUGAGUUGAAUGAUGUUUGCGUGUUUAAUUCAUUCGACAACCAAAGCACUCCCUCUGUUCUACCGAAAAUUAUCCAAAUUUAGAUUGGUUUCUCACAUGGGUUUCUCGGAAUGUGUCGGGAAAAGAUUGAGAAGUUAUGAUCACAGCGGAGCACGGAACAAAACACAAACACCUGAUAUGGAGAGCAGCAUUUACACAAUUCUCACCAUUGAUCGUUGGGAGUCGCUCAAUCUAAUGGAGUAUAGGCUGGCUUCACUCAGACCAGUUCAUGGAAGGCUGGCUUUGAAAUUCCUCAACUGGGUCAUCGCCCAACCUGGUUUGGAACACAAUCACCUCAUUCACAUACUCUCCAUCUCUGCUCACAUACUCAUUAGAGCUAGAAUGUAUGACUCUGCUAAAUCUGUUCUGCUGCGUCUCUCUCGUACGGCUAUUGGGUCUAGUUCUGUUUUUGGUGCCCUUAUGGACACAUACCCUCUCUGCAAUUCAAACCCUUCAGUUUUUGACCUUUUGAUUAGGGUUUACUUGCGCCAAGAAGUGGUUCAAUGUGCUGUGGAGACAUUUCGUUUGAUGGGUUUUCGAGGAUUUAGACCGUCAGUUUCAACCUGUAAUAUGAUCCUAGCAGGGGUGGUGAAGGAGGAGGGGUCAGUUUGGACAUUUUUUAAGGAAAUGCUAGAGGGGAGGAUUUGCCCUAAUGUUGCUACCUUUAACAUACUGCUGAAUUUUCUUUGCAUGGAAGGGAAGCUCCAGAAAGCGGGUUAUCUCUUGAGGAAGAUGGAAGAGAGCGGUUAUGUUCCAACUAUUGUUACUUACAACACUUUGCUCAAUUGGUAUUGCAAGAAAGGUAGGUACAAGGCAGCUUUUGAGCUCAUUGAUCGAAUGAGUUGCAAAGGUAUUAAAGCUGAUGUGUGUACUUAUAACAUGUUUAUUGAUGAUUUGUGCAGAAACAAGAGGAGUUCCAAAGGUUAUUUACUUUUGAAGAAGAUGAGGAAGAAGAUGAUAACCCCUAAUGAAGUGACCUAUAAUACCCUUAUUAAUGGAUUUGUUAAGGAGGGAAAGAUUGAAGUUGCUACUCGGGUUUUGGAUGAGAUGUCAGCUUUCAACCUUCUGCCAAAUUCUGUUACUUACAAUUCCUUGAUUGAUGGGCACUGUCAGGGUGGUAAUUUUGAAGAAGCUUUUAAACUUUUGGAUAGAAUGAAAGCUGUGGGAUUGAGUCCUAGUGAAGUUAGUUAUGGGGCUCUUUUGAAUGGGUUAUGCAAUCAUGCCAAGUUUGAUUUGGCAAGUUGUCUACUUGGGAAAAUGAGGGUGAGUGGUAUAGUUGUUGGGUGUAUUCCUUAUACAAUGUUGAUGGAUGGUCUAUGCAAAAAUGGGAUGCUUGAUGAAGCCAUACAGUUGCUUGAUAAUAUGCUUAGGGAUGGUGUGAAUGCUGAUGUUAUCACAUAUUCUGUGCUUAUAAAUGGUUUCUGCAGAGUUGGAAUGAUCAAUAAUGCAAAGGAGAUGAUAUGUAAGAUGCAUAAAGAUGGUCUCUUACCAAACCACAUCAUUUAUGCUACUUUAAUCUACAAUUCUUGCAAGCUGGGAAAUAUCAUGGAAGCAUUGAAAGGCUAUGCAGUUAUGAAUCGCAAUGGCCACAGUGCAGGUCUUUUCAUAUGUAACACGCUGGUUGCUUCUCUUUUUAGGGUUGGAAAGCUAGAAGAGGCAGAAUAUUUUAUGUGUCACAUGAGUAGGGUUGGUUUAUUUCCCAACUCUAUUACUUUUGAUUGUGUUAUAAAUGGCUAUGGAAGUGCUGGUGAUAGUUUAAAGGCAUUUUCCUUCUUUGAUGAAAUGAUUGAAUGGGGUAACCAUCCAAGUUUCUUCACAUAUGGCAGUCUAAUAAAAAGCCUGUGCAAAGGUGGACAUUUAGUGGAGGCUAAGAAGUUCUUGAAUAGACUUCACUACAUUCCUCGUUGUGUAGAUGCUGUAGUUUAUAACACAUUGUUGGGUGAAACCUGUAGAUCAGGGAAUUUACAGGAUGCAGUGGCCCUUUUUGAUGAGAUGGUCCGAAAAAAUGUGCUGCCUGACAGAUACACAUAUUCCAAUCUGCUUACUGGAUUAUGUGGAAAUGGCAAGAUUGUUCUUGCAAUUCUUCUGUUUGGAAAAGUGAUGGAAAGGGGAACUUUGUUUGCUAACGAGGUAAUGUACACCUGUUUAAUUGAUGCUCUUUUCAAGGAUGGCCAACCAAAGGCAGCAUUCUAUUUCUAUGAAGAGAUGGUAAAGAAGGGCUUACAGCCUGAUACUAUUUCACUUAAUGCAGUCAUUGAUGGCUACUCAAGGAUGGGGCAAAUAUUGAAUGUGGAAAAAUUCUUUUCCAUGAUGAGGAGCGGAAGUUUGUACCCCAAUUUAGUUACUUAUAAUAUUCUGUUACAUGGGUAUGCUAAGAGAAAAGAUUUAUUGAGAUGCUUUACAUUACACAAAAACAUGGUGAGGAAAGGUUUUGUGCCUGACAGAGUUACUUGCCAUUCUCUAAUUCUUGGACUCUGCAAGUGUGAUAUGCUGGACAUUGGUGUUAAAAUUUUGAAGAAGAUGUUAGUUGGUGGUGUUGCAGUUGAUCGCUUAACAUUUAACAUGCUUAUUGCCAUGUGCAGUGAGCGUGGUCGGUUGGCAAUGGCCAUUGACCUGUGUGACAUUAUGAACUCUUUAGGAAUUUUUCCUGAUGGAGACACCUACAGUCACAUUAUUGAUGGACUUAACAGAAAACAUGCUUUCCGAGAAUCUCAUUCUGUUUUCCAUGAAAUGUUGGAAAAGGGAAUAAGACCUAAUUAUACACAAUAUAUUACUUUGAUUAACGGUAUGUGUAGAGUAGGAGAUAUAAAAGGAGCAUUCAAGCUAAAAGAUGAGGUGCAGGCACUUGGUGUCUGUCCCCCUGUUGUAGCCGAGAGUGCUAUGGUUCGAGGCCUUGUAAAAGCUGGAAAGAUUGAGGAAGCAAUGCUGGUUCUUGAUUGUAUGCUUCGUGCACAGCUCAUUCCAACUCACGCCACCUUCACAAGUCUGAUGCACAUUUUCUGCAAGAAAGCUAACCUUGUGGAGGCUUUAAAAUUGAGGGAUCUAAUGGAGUGUUGUGGAGUGAAGCUUGAUGUUGUGUCUUACAAUGUUCUCAUCACAGGCUUGUGUGCCAAUGAGGAUGUUGUAGCUGCAUUUGAAUUAUAUGAGGAGAUGAAGCAGAAGGGUAUCUGGGCUAAUACCACCACCUAUGCUGUUCUAAUUGAUGCUGUUUGUACCAAAAACAUUCUUGAUGAGGGUCAAUUGCUCUUGUUGGAUCUACAUGACAGAGGAUUGAUAUCUUGGGAUGGCAGCACCCAACAAUUGCACAAGGUACUGAUGGUUGCCAUGGAAAAAUUGAAUUUCUUAAGGCACAAAAGAAGGAAAUAAUGUGAAGGGAAAAAAAGGAGAUAAUCUGAGCCCCACUGUGGGUAUUCCACAGCGUGGAACAUUAAAUGCAAGCCGCUCCUUUGGUGGCCUACAGGCACAUGAAGCUGAGAUGACCUUACAACUGUUCAAUAAUUUUGUAAAGCUUAUCACAUGGUCUGUUGGGUACAUUUUAAUAGCUUGAAGCAGAAGGUUAAAAGUUCAUUACUAUUUGAUUCAUGCUGUUCAUUCAUGGGUAUUGUGGGAAUAGAAAAACCCUGGACUUACUGGAAGGAAGAGCUUCAAUUUUUUAUAUUCUGAAGUGAAUUGAGGCACUUCCUUGUUUUUCAGGACCCGACACAGUUGUAGAACAUGAAGCAACCACCCUAGUGCAGGUGGAAUGAGCACUUGACAGUUGAAACAUGCUUCAUUUCUAUUCCAUUGGAGGCUCAGAAUUUUCAGACAAUCAUGAUUCCAUGGCUUGUUAAUCACUGUCAGGAUAUACCGAUGGCACACCAAUGCCACUUCUGUAGGUUCUCCAGUCUGAGUAAAUUUGCUAAAAAGGAUUUUUACUCCAGAAAUUGUUGCAUCUUCUAUAGUGAUGUGGAUCUAUGAUGGGCACUUAUCCACCCGAUGGAUCACGCAAAGGAAUGGUGGAUAAGUAAUGGGCAUAACUCUGCCUCACUACAACAGGCACACCGAAGAAUUUCUCACUCGGCUCCCCUCUCUCCCUCCUCCUCCUCCUCUCGCGCACACUCUUAGCCCCACACAUGCCUUAAUAAAGAGCAUCUUUCUCCUGUGUUUCUGACCCUUUUGAACCCUGAGGCUUUCAUGCUUAUGCCUUGCUUGAACUUGUCAUGAUCCCUGAAGCAGCUUAAAAAAUAGGCGAAUGGUGGCAGAAAAGCAAGUUACCGUGUGCCUGAAAUAUGAAUCAACCUCUUUGGUCUGCACCAGCUAAAAGGAGGCAUGGGGAGUAGUGUGUUGAAAAAUUGUACAUAGUGGCCCUUUGUUUUGGGUUUUCUGUUUAAGAAAAGAUUAUGCUGUGUUGUUGGCAUGGCAGACAGAAUCUAGCAGUGUUAAGCAGAGACAUUUUUGCGAUAAUUUACUUUGGAUUAUUCUUGAGCA